rnacentral:rRNA from 1 species
UACGUAGGGACCGAGCGUUGUCCGGAUUCAUUGGGCGUAAAGAGCUCGUAGGCGGCUGCUCAAGUCGAAUGUGAAAACUCGAGGCUCAACCUCGAGCCUGCAUUCGAUACUGGGCGGCUAGAGUCUGGUAGGGGGAUCUGGAAUUCCUGGUGUAGCGGUGGAAUGCGCAGAUAUCAGGAAGAACACCGGUGGCGAAGGCGGCCUGCUGGGCAGUUGCUGACACUGAGGCGCGACAGCGUGGGGAGCAAACAGG